rnacentral:rRNA from 1 species
CGUCCUCGCCACCGUCGGCCGGCGACCGGCGCGACGGGUGAGUAACACGUAUGGAACCUGCCCGCCACAGGGGGAUAACCCGGGGAAACCCGGCCUAAUACCCCAUGCCGCCCGGACCGGGCAUCCGGUCCGGGCGAAAGGAGGAAUCCGGUGGCGGCUGGGCAUGCGGCGCAUUAGCUUGACGGCGGGGUAACGGCCCACCGUGGCGACGAUGCGUAGGGGUUCUGAGAGGAAGGCCCCCCACACUGGAACUGAGACACGGUCCAGACUCCUACGGAAGGCAGCAG